rnacentral:rRNA from 1 species
UGGGGAAUAUUGCACAAUGGGCGAAAGCCUGAUGCAGCAACGCCGCGUGAGCGAUGAAGGCCUUUGGGUCGUAAAGCUCUGUCCUUGGGGAAGAAAAAAAUGACGGUACCCAUGGAGGAAGCCCCGGCUAACUACGUGCCAGCAGCCGCGGUAAUACGUAGGGGGCAAGCGUUAUCCGGAAUUAUUGGGCGUAAAGAGUACGUAGGUGGUCUUUUAAGCGCAGGGUUUAAGGCAAUGGCUUAACCAUUGUUCGCCCUGUGAACUGGGAGACUUGAGUGCAGGAGAGGAAAGUGGAAUUCCUAGUGUAGCGGUGAAAUGCGUAGAUAUUAGGAGGAACACCAGUGGCGAAGGCGACUUUCUGGACUGUAACUGACACUGAGGUACGAAAGCGUGGGGAGCAAACA